UACGUAGGGUGCAAGCGUUAAUCGGAAUUACUGGGCGUAAAGCGUGCGCAGGCGGUUUGCCAAGUCAGAUGUGAAAGCCCCGGGCUCAACCUGGGAAUGGCAUUUGUGACUGGCAGGCUAGAGUGUGUCAGAGGGGGGUAGAAUUCCACGUGUAGCAGUGAAAUGCGUAGAGAUGUGGAGGAAUACCGAUGGCGAAGGCAGCCCCCUGGGAUAACACUGACGCUCAUGCACGAAAGCGUGGGGAGCAAACAGG
rnacentral:rRNA from 1 species